AUUGAACGCUGGCGGCAUGCCUUACACAUGCAAGUCGAACGACAGCACGGGUGCUUGCACCUGGUGGCGAGUGGCGAACGGGUGAGUAAUACAUCGGAACGUACCUUAUCGUGGGGAUAACGCAGCGAAAGUUGCGCUAAUACCGCAUACGCCCUGAGGGGGAAAGCGGGGGACCGUAAGGCCUCGCGCGAUUAGAGCGGCCGAUGUCUGAUUAGCUUGCUGGUGAGGUAAAAGCUCACCAAGGCGAUGAUCAGUAGCUGGUCUGAGAGAACGAUCAGCCACACUGGGACUGAGACACGGCCCAGACUCCUACGGGAGGCAGCAGUGGGGAAUUUUGGACAAUGGGGGCAACCCUGAUCCAGCAAUGCCGCGUGAGUGAAGAAGGCCUUCGGGUUGUAAAGCUCUUUUGUCAGGGAAGAAACAGCAGCUCUAACACAGUCUGCGAAUGACGGUACCUGAAGAAUAAGCACCAGCUAACUACGUGCCAGCCGCCGCAGUAA
rnacentral:rRNA from 1 species